GUGGGACUGGGGAGGAGACCGAAACACUCAAAUACCCAGAUCCCUGGUAGCUGCCAGCCAGGCAUCGGGAAGGCCACUUGCCUUUUUCAGCACCAGCUGUGCCUUCAGGUCCUCGCUGUGCUGUAGGUGUGACAGGCUCCUGCCCCAGAGCUCUUUGGCUUCGGUGAAAUGUCGACAAUCCUGAAAUGGUUUGGACGAGAAGAUAAGGAGAGAGAGGAGAAGGAGACGGACAAGGA